AGCACAGCCGUAUCUCUCGGCUCGUCGUGGGAUCUUCGCCUUUUCUUGUGAACUUUAAAUUGAUUAACAUUCUAACUGUGGCCAACCUUGUCACACACGAUGUGCAUUGGUCAACAAUAAAUUGUGCACUUUUGAGCCAAUUAUGACAUUAUUUAUCUGAGGUUUUGACGAAAGUUAGGUCGGUCUAUAUACACGAGCCCGGUCGAAUCGCCGCGAACCGGAGUGUGAACCUUCACGGGUGCCGCCCGUUAAGCGGUGAGCCGUGCAGACCCAGCAGCCAGCUCCAAUCCAGCCAGCUCCCAUCCAGCCAGACUUCAAUGAACAUUGAUAUGACUUUUUGUGUGAGAUGCUGACAAUUCUUAAGAGGCUGGAUGGGACCACAAGAUGGGAGUGUGUUAUCUAUGGAUAUGUGGUUUGUGGACGAGGGAGUCUUCGCUGGAGUCAUCGCCGGAUUCAGAUUUUGCUUUCUUCUUGACGAUGAUGAAGUAUCUUGUGCUGAAAUCUCCACUGAACUGAGUUGAUGUCUACCAGGAGGGACUGGGAAUAUGCAGAAGCUGUGGUGAUGUAUCAGUUUAUUAUCAUUAAAGUAACAAGUGAAGAAACUACCCAGAUGGAAGGACAAAUAUCUCAGACAAGUAGUUUGAAGGAUCGUGAACAAUUCUUAGCAUCAGUUGAUUAAUAAAACCAGUUUCUUAAUCUCAAAAACAAAUCUCUUAAGACAAUUUUAAUUGGCGGUCAAAUUACUGUCAUUUGAGUUUUAAAACCGAGCUUGGACGACCAGCCAACCACCGUGGUGAAACAAGUUGAGAAUCAUGAUAACAAUACCUUUAAGAUUUGUAGUUAUGUACAUCCAAAAUAGAUUCUUCCUGAAAGAAUUGGCGUGGGCUCUUCUUGCAAUUUUUUUUUCAUAAAGAUAUGUGAAUCCCUACUAAAUUUCCCUCAGUUUUUAGCAGUACCUUGAAGUGGCUUUCUGGACCUGUUUGGAUGAGCAUCAAUUGAAGGUGAAGGGAGUGGUGACUACAACUGGACCUGUCUGGAUGAGAUGAACAUCAUUGAAGGACACCCGCGCAAAGAGUCAACAACUGACAGCUAAUAAUUUAAGAGAUGACCUACGUUGAGAUGACGUAAUCCCAAUCGUGAGACUACCUACUCGAUGCUUGUUGCCAUCAUCCGACGAGGGAAUGUAUCAAGUCUACCCUGAUGACGCUCGUCUACAAGCUCAACUAACACUUUUGGACACUCACCAGCUGAAGAGAGACUAUGUGUCAAGUCUAACCAGACGAUUGCUACAAACACUUUUGGACUGCCACCAGCUGCAUGAAGAGAGACUACUGCAUCAAGUUUAGCCAGAUCAGAUGACUAUUUGCUACUAUGUUCAGUGAGGUAAUAGUGCAACUAACACUUUUGGACACUCACCAGCUGAAGAGAGACUAUGUGUCAAGUCUAACCAGACGAUUGCUACAAACACUUUGGACUGCCACCAGCUGCAUGAAGAGAGACUACUGCAUCAAGUUUAGCCAGAUCAGAUGACUAUUUGCUACUAUGUUCAGUGAGGUAACAGUGCAACUAACACUUUUGGACUGUCACCGGCUAAAGAGAGACUAUGUCAAGUCCAUCCAAUGGGUGCCUGCUAAACUUUAGCUGUUCACCUAAUGUAGUGACUUUAAAGCUAAUGGUGUUACUAAACGCUUUUGAUGAACUUUCCACAAUUGAAGAAACAUCGGAUGCGUUCAACUACUCAAACAAGCUGCUGGAGGGCGCCCUACUGCUGAAGCCACUUAAAGGGGCACGUUGCCUUGGUUUGGUAAGGUCGGUCUAUGAAAACAAAUUGAAACCGUUUGUCAUGAAAUGCAUGGUUAGAAAGAUGUUUUAAAAGUACAAUAUAAUGAUCAAGACAAGUGUGCCUCGGAAAUGCGAGGUUAUUACUUUGCGAACUACCACGAUCGGCCAUUUUGUUGAGGCGAAAAUUUGGAAAAAACCUCAAAUCUUUGAAAAACUGUUUAAACAUC